UACGGGGGGGGCAAGCGUUGUUCGGAAUUACUGGGCGUAAAGGGCUCGUAGGCGGCCAACUAAGUCAGACGUGAAAUCCCUCGGCUUAACCGGGGAACUGCGUCUGAUACUGGAUGGCUUGAGAUUGGGAGAGGGAUGCGGAAUUCCUGGUGUAGCGGUGAAAUGCGCAGAUAUCAGGAAGAACACCCGUGGCUAAGGCGGCUCUCUAGCACGGUACUGACGCUGAGACGCGAAAGCGUGGGGAGCGAACAGG
rnacentral:rRNA from 1 species